rnacentral:rRNA from 1 species
AGUCGACGAAGAAGUACCUUAUUGUCUGAUUGGGGAACGGGUGAGUAACGCGUUGGUGACCUGCCUCUUACAGAGGGAUAACAGUCCGAAAGGAUUGCUAAUACCCCAUGUGGUCGUUUGGAUUAGAUGCCUUAUGACUAAACGGAUUUAUUCGCUUCGAUAGGGGCCUGCGUCCCAUCAUCUAUGUGGAAAGGUAAUGGCCUACCAGGGACAACACGGAUACGGGACCUGAGAGCGAGCCCCCCCACUGUGGAACUGACACACGGUCCAUACACCUACGGGUGGCAGCUGUAGGGAAUAUUGGUUAAUCUGGGAAACCGGCAACCAGCCACGCCGCGUGCACGAUGAAGGCCUUCGGGUUGUAAAGUGCUUUUUGAAAGGAAGAGGAAGGACACUACUUUCAGAAUAAACUUCGGCUAACUACAUGCCACCAGCCGCGGUAAAACGUAUGAAGCGAGCGUUAUCCGGAUUUACUGGGCGUAAAGCGUGUGUAGGCGGUUUGACAAGUUGGAUGUGAAAGCUCCUGGCUUAACUGGGAGAGGUCGUUCAAAACUGUCAGACUUGAGAGUGGGGAGGGAGGUGGAAUUCCGGUGUGUAGUGGUGAAAUGCGUAGAUAUCCGGAGGAACACCAGUGGCGAAAGCGGCCUCCUGGCCCAUUUCUGACGCUCAGACACGAAAGCUAAAGUAGCAACAGGAUUAGAGACCCCGGUAGUCUUAGCUGUAAACGAUGUGAACUUAGUGUCGGUGGGUUUAAAUCCAUCGGUACUGAAGCACACGCGAUAAGUUCGCCCGCCUGGGGACUACGGAUGCAAGGAUAAAACUCAAAGGGAAUUGACCG